rnacentral:RNase_P_RNA from 1 species
ACAGAAAUGAGGUCUGUCGCUGAACGCAGAGGCGUUUUGAGGAAAGUCCGGGCAACAUAGAGCAACAUGCUUCCUAACGGGAAGUCGGCGGCGACGUCGAGGAUAAGUGACAGAAAACAACCGCCGGAACGGGGCUUUGCCCUUUUCCGGUAAGGGUGAAAAGGUGGGGUAAGAGCCCACCGGCUCCUGUGGCGACACACGAGGCCGCACAUCCCAUGUGUUGCAAGGCCAAAUAUACCGGCAGUCAAGGGCUGCUCGUCCAUUGCCGGGGGGUAGGCUGCUUAAGCCCGCAGGCAACUGUGUGGCGCAGAUAAAUGACAGACACCGUUUGGGGUAAGACCCGGCGGCACAUAACCCGGCUUAUAUCAUAUCUGUUUUU